AAAGCUAUUGCUCCUGCUGAAAGAAAAUCUGUGUUGAUCGUUUUUUGAUUUUGCCAUUUAUGGGGGUAAAAUCAUGACAGAUUGACAUAAACAGUU